rnacentral:rRNA from 1 species
CAUAGGUUAAUGAGGCGAACCGGGGGAACUGAAACAUCUAAGUACCCCGAGGAAAAGAAAUCAACCGAGAUUCCCCCAGUAGCGGCGAGCGAACGGGGAGGAGCCCAGAGCCUGAAUCAGUGUGUGUGUUAGUGGAAGCGUCUGGAAAGGCGCGCGAUACAGGGUGACAGCCCCGUACACAAAAAUGCACAUGCUGUGAGCUCGAUGAGUAGGGCGGGACACGUGGUAUCCUGUCUGAAUAUGGGGGGACCAUCCUCCAAGGCUAAAUACUCCUGACUGACCGAUAGUGAACCAGUACCGUGAGGGAAAGGCGAAAAGAACCCCGGCGAGGGGAGUGAAAAAGAACCUGAAACCGUGUACGUACAAGCAGUGGGAGCCUCUUAAUGGGGUGACUGCGUACCUUUUGUAUAAUGGGUCAGCGACUUAUAUUCUGUAGCAAGGUUAACCGAAUAGGGGAGCCGAAGGGAAACCGAGUCUUAACUGGGCGUUAAGUUGCAGGGUAUAGACCCGAAACCCGGUGAUCUAGCCAUGGGCAGGUUGAAGGUUGGGUAACACUAACUGGAGGACCGAACCGACUAAUGUUGAAAAAUUAGCGGAUGACUUGUGGCUGGGGGUGAAAGGCCAAUCAAACCGGGAGAUAGCUGGUUCUCCCCGAAAGCUAUUUAGGUAGCGCCUCGUGAAUUCAUCUCCGGGGGUA